GGAGUACCAGGUGCCACUCGGAAAAAUUUCAAGGACACAGAAAAAAGAGGACGCCAUUUCUGUGUCCCUGCUUCAGAUGCCUUGGUGAACUUCCCUACUUUCCCUUUAAAGUGGAAGCUACCACUCAGAAGUAGCUGACCUAAUAGAAUGGUGGAAUGGCCUAUAAAACAGUGGAACAGACGGCAGUUACAUCACCAGUUCAGAAAGAAAUCUCAUGGAAGUACAAAGUUUUACUUUGAAAGGUAGAACAACACCAAAUGAGAUACUCUAACCAGGAUCUCUUUCUGGAGUGAUAGCUAUGUAAUUUUAACUCUGUUGGAAACAAUUUCGACACAUCCAAGCUAAAUUCUUCUUCUUUUAUCUUUUUGAUAAUAGCCAUCCUAACAAGUAUGAGGUAAUAUCCCAUGGUGUUUUUGAUUUGCAUUUCCCUGACUAUUAGAAACGUUGAGCACCUUUUCAUAUACCUGUUGCCUAUUUGUAUCUUUUCUUUGAAAAAUUGUCUAUUCAUGUCCUUUGCCCAUCUUUUAACUGGGUUGUUUAUUUUUUCGUUAUUGAGUUGUAUGCAUUCCUUAAACAUUUUGGAUAAAACCCCUUAUCAGAUACAUGGUAUGCAAAUAUUUUCUUCCAAUCUGUAGGCUAUUUGUUCAAUGUUGCUUAUUCUUUUUCCCAUGCAUAAGCCUUAUAGUUUGAUGUAGUCUCACUUGUUUACUUUUGUUUUCGUGGCCUAAGUUUUUGAUGUCAUAUCCAAAAAAUCAUUGCCAAGGGCAUUAUGCUAAGUGAAAUAAACCAGAAACAAAAAGAAAACAAAAAUAUGCAUGAUCUCACUUAUCUGUGGAAUUUAAAAAGUUAAAUACAUAGAAGCAGAGAGUAGAAUCUGUUACCAGGGACGGACAGUUGGGGGAAAUGAGGAGAUGUUUGUCAAAGGGU